GGGAGAGUGGCUCAAUGGUAGAGUGCUUGCCUUGCAUGCAGGAGGCCCUGGGUUUGAUUCCUCAGCACCA
rnacentral:tRNA from 1 species